rnacentral:rRNA from 1 species
ACGGUAACAGGGACUUCGGUCCGCUGACGAGUGGCGCACGGGUGAGUAACGCGUGGGUUACCUGCCCAUAAGUGGGGAACAACUUGGAGAAAUCCAAGCUAAUACCGCAUAAUACCUUCGGGUUAAAGAGGGGGAUCUUCGGACCUCUCGCUUAUGGAUGGUCCCGCGUCUGAUUAGCUAGUUGGUAGGGUAAUGGCCUACCAAGGCAAUGAUCAGUAGCUGGUCUGAGAGGAUGAUCAGUCACACUGGAACUGAGACACGGUCCAGACUCCUACGGGAGGCAGCAGUGGGGAAUUUUGCACAAUGGGCGAAAGCCUGAUGCAGCGACGCCGCGUGCGGGAAGAAGGCCUUCGGGUUGUAAACCGCUUUCAACAGGGAAGAAGGAAUGAGAGCUAAUACCUCUCUGCCUUGACGGUACCUGUAGAAGAAGCACCGGCUAAUUUCGUGCCGGCAGCCGCGGUAAUACGAAAGGUGCAAGCGUUGUUCGGAUUUACUGGGCGUAAAGAGAUCGUAGGUGGCUUGUUAAGUCGGAUGUGAAAUCCCGGGGCUCAACCCCCGGAACUGCAUCCGAUACUGGCAGGCUUGAGUUUGGGGAGGGGUAAGCGGAAUUCCGUGUUGUAGCAGUGAAAUGCGUAGAUAUACGGAGGAACACCUGGAGGCGAAAGCGGCUUACUGGACCAAUACUGACACUGAGGAUCGAAAGCGUGGGUAGCAAACAGGAUUAGAUACCCUGGUAGUCCACGCCUAACGAUGUCACUAGUCGUUGCGGGUUAUCGACCCCUGCAGUGCGCAGCUA